GACGAACGCUGGCGGCGUGCCUAAUACAUGCAAGUCGAACGCAGUGGGGACGGGUGAGUAACACGUGGGUAACCUCCCAUCAGAGGGGAUAAAACUUGGCAACAGGUGCUAAACCGAUACUGAUGGAUGGACCCGCGGUGCAUUAGCUAGUUGGUGGGGUAACGGCUCACCAAGGCCAUGAUGCAUAGCCGCGCUGAGGGUGUGAUCGGCCAAACUUGUACUGAGACACGGCCCAGACUCCAACGGUAGGCAGCAGUAGGGAAUCUUCGGCAAGGGACGAAAGUCUGACCGAGCAAUGCCGCGUGAGUGAAGAAGGUUUUCGGAUCGUAAAACUCUGUUGUUAGAGAAGCGGUAUCUAACCAGAAAGCCACGGCUAACUACGUGCCAGCAGCCGCGGUAAUUC
rnacentral:rRNA from 1 species